GGAACGGGCUGGCAGGGCAAUUGGUGCAGUAAUCUUUCAUUUAAUGAACUUGAAAAUUGGAAGGAUUCAUUGAAAACAACUGACCAUUUAAAGAAGUCUCCAGUUUGGUACAGUGAAAGAAGCAAUUUAGAGUUUUGGAGAAAAGUCACAGCUGCAUUUGUAUUAUGACUUUGAAAUUGCUUACUUACAACUUGAGUUCCAGAUUGCCUAUAAAUGUGUCCUGUCAUUCCUGAAGACAUUGGCAAG